GGCGCCCCCACGCCCGCAUCCUUCCAGCCUCUGCCCGCCUGGCCGCCUUCCAUGUCCCGGGGCCCCGAAAUACUCCUUUAAAAGUCCUCUGCUGUCUCCGUGCAUCCCGUGUCAUUUCUCUUUUCUCAACCAAGUGCCUUGAAGGAGCUGUCUGUACUCCCGAAUCUACAUCUUGCCUCUUGUUCACGUCUCAACCCGCUGCAGCAUAAUCACCCACCGAACAUCAUCUGGCCCUCUACUCUAUGCCAAACACUGUACCAGACUCUGAGGAUAAACUGGUUGUGCAAGAGACACAGUUCUUGUCCUCAAAUGACUGUCUCUGAAAUUGCUUUGACAUCGAUAACCAACUGACUCUCUAAAUUGCCAAUUCCACUUUUCCUUCAUUAUCAGAUGGAAAUUGUGCCUGUGUCCCCGUACAAAAUCUCCCGCGAAAUUAAAAAGAGAAUAAGAAAGCUAUUGCCGGUCCGCAAACAAGCCCAAGAAGGUCUCAUGGCGGAGACAAGAAGGACUCACAAUAAGUACUAUAUACCAACUAUUAAAGAAUCGUUAAGGGG